rnacentral:rRNA from 1 species
UACGGGGGGGGUAAGCGUUGUCCGGAUUUAUUGGGUUUAAAGGGUGCGUAGGCGGCUUUGUAAGUCAGUGGUGAAAUAUGGCAGCUCAACUGUCAGGGUGCCAUUGAUACUGCAGAGCUUGAGUACAGAUGAGGUAGGCGGAAUUGACGGUGUAGCGGUGAAAUGCUUAGAUAUCGUCAAGAACACCGAUAGCGAAGGCAGCUUACUGGGCUGUAACUGACGCUGAGGCACGAAAGUGUGGGGAUCAAACAGG